UACAAUAAUAUUUUAUUGAUAUAAUGUAACAUUUUGUGUUAAAUGAUCUAUUUUGCUUCAUAUUUCGAAAAAAGUCCUGAAUCAUUUUUUUCUUAUUUCUUAAGGACCAUUUGAUUUGAGUAAUUAAAAAAAAAAAAAUAGAUACUAGCUUUUUUUUCUCGGCAAAUAAAUAUAGAUACUAGCUAUACAUUUGUAUAUGAUUUAGAGUGGGGAAGGCACUUAGCCAAAUCAAGAAACACGAAUGGAUGGCACAACUUUC
rnacentral:lncRNA from 1 species